GACGAACGCUGGCGGCGUGCUUAACACAUGCAAGUCGAACGGAAAGGCCCUGCUUUUGUGGGGUGCUCGAGUGGCGAACGGGUGAGUAACACGUGAGUAACCUGCCCUUGACUUUGGGAUAACUUCAGGAAACUGGGGCUAAUACCGGAUAGGAGCUCCUGCUGCAUGGUGGGGGUUGGAAAGUUUCGGCGGUUGGGGAUGGACUCGCGGCUUAUCAGCUUGUUGGUGGGGUAGUGGCUUACCAAGGCUUUGACGGGUAGCCGGCCUGAGAGGGUGACCGGCCACAUUGGGACUGAGAUACGGCCCAGACUCCUACGGGAGGCAGCAGUGGGGAAUAUUGCACAAUGGGCGGAAGCCUGAUGCAGCAACGCCGCGUGCGAGAUGACGGCCUUCGGGUUGUAAACCGCUUUCGCCUGUGACGAAGCGUGAGUGACGGUAAUGGGUAAAGAAGCACCGGCUAACUACGUGCCAGCAGCCGCGGUGAUACGUAGGGUGCGAGCGUUGUCCGGAUUUAUUGGGCGUAAAGGGCUCGUAGGUGGUUGAUCGCGUCGGAAGUGUAAUCUUGGGGCUUAACCCUGAGCGUGCUUUCGAUACGGGUUGACUUGAGGAAGGUAGGGGAGAAUGGAAUUCCUGGUGGAGCGGUGGAAUGCGCAGAUAUCAGGAGGAACACCAGUGGCGAAGGCGGUUCUCUGGGCCUUUCCUGACGCUGAGGAGCGAAAGCGUGGGGAGCGAACAGGCUUAGAUACCCUGGUAGUCCACGCUGUAAACGGUGGGUACUAGGUGUGGGGUCCAUUCCACGGGUUCCGUGCCGUAGCUAACGCUUUAAGUACCCCGCCUGGGGAGUACGGCCGCAAGGCUAAAACUCAAAGGAAUUGACGGGGCCCCGCACAAGCGGCGGAGCAUGCGGAUUAAUUCGAUGCAACGCGUAGAACCUUACCUGGGUUUGACAUGGAUCGGGAGUGCUCAGAGAUGGGUGUGCCUCUUUUGGGGUCGGUUCACAGGUGGUGCAUGGCUGUCGUCAGCUCGUGUCGUGAGAUGUUGGGUUAAGUCCCGCAACGAGCGCAACCCUUGUUCACUGUUGCCAGCACGUUAUGGUGGGGACUCAGUGGAGACCGCCGGGGUCAACUCGGAGGAAGGUGGGGAUGACGUCAAGUCAUCAUGCCCCUUAUGUCCAGGGCUUCACGCAUGCUACAAUGGCUGGUACAGAGAGUGGCGAGCCUGUGAGGGUGAGCGAAUCUCGGAAAGCCGGUCUCAGUUCGGAUUGGGGUCUGCAACUCGACCUCAUGAAGUCGGAGUCGCUAGUAAUCGCAGAUCAGCAACGCUGCGGUGAAUACGUUCCCGGGGCU
rnacentral:rRNA from 1 species